CAAUAGCGUAUAUUAAAGUUGUUGCAGUUAAAAAGCUCGUAGUUGGAUUUGUGGCUGUCACGGGCGGCCUAUCACUUAGUGUUAGUGCUUGCCUGUGUCGCCAUCCUUGGGUGGAGCCCGUGUGGCAUUAGGUUGUCGUGCGGGGGAUGCCCCUCGUUUACUGUGAGAAAAUUAGAGUGUUCAAAGCAGGCUUAUGCCGUUGAAUAUGUUAGCAUGGAAUAAUAAGAUAGGACCUCGGUACUAUUUUGUUGGUUUGCGCACCGAGGUAAUGAUUAAUAGGGACAGUUGGGGGUAUUCGUAUUUCAUUGUCAGAGGUGAAAUUCUUGGAUUUCUGAAAGACGAACUACUGCGAAAGCAUUUACCAAGGAUGUUUUCAUUAA
rnacentral:rRNA from 1 species